AUUGAACGCUGGCGGCAGGCCAAACACAUGCAAGUCGAAUGAGAGGAGGAAGGGUGAGUAAUGUCGGGGAAACGGCCUGAUGGAGGGGGAUAACUAAUGGAAACGGUAGCUAAUACCGCAUACCAGCAGAUGUGCCCAGAUGGGAUUAGCUUGGUGGUGGGGUAACUGCUCACCAAGGCGACGAUCCCUAGCUGGUCUGAGAGGAUGACCAGCCACACUGGAACUGAGACACGGUCCAGACUCCUACGUGAGGCAUCAGUGGGGAAUAUUGCACAAUGGGCGCGAGCCUGAUGCAGCCAUGCCGCGUGUAUGAAUAAGGCCUUCGGGUUGUAAAUUACUUUCAGCGGGGAGGCGUUACCCGCAGAAGAAGCACCGGCUAACUCCGUGCCAGCAGCCGCGGUAAUUC
rnacentral:rRNA from 1 species